AAGUGGGAGAGGAGAGGAAACCAGGAAAGGAGAUAUCAUAUGAGCAAAGUUGACCCAGAAAACAGCUGUACUAAAGCUGCAUUAUCUUCUGCUUUCUGUUCAUCCCAUGAAAUGUCACUGACCUAGUUCAGAAAAGGUAGAAGAUGCAGGAGGGGGGAGAAGAGCUAAGCUGCCUGCUCUUAAGCAUUGCUAAAGCUUUUUACAGAAACAUUCCACAUAUCUGCAGCUCUCUGUGUAGCCACACUACUCUGCGUAUCUACAGCAUACCACAUAUCUUC